ACAGCAGUCGCCGCGGUAACACAGAGGGUGCGAGCGUUAAUCGGAUUUACUGGGCGUAAAGCGUGCGUAGGCGGCUUCUUAAGUCGGAUGUGAAAUCCCUGAGCUUAACUUAGGAAUUGCAUUCGAUACUGGGAAGCUAGAGUAUGGGAGAGGAUGGUAGAAUUCCAGGUGUAGCGGUGAAAUGCGUAGAGAUCUGGAGGAAUACCGAUGGCGAAGGCAGCCAUCUGGCCUAAUACUGACGCUGAGGUGCGAAAGCGUGGGGAGCAAACAGGAUUAGAUACCCCCGUAGUCCCUGUCUCUUAUAC
rnacentral:rRNA from 1 species